rnacentral:rRNA from 1 species
AGGUAGCAUAAUCAUUUGUUUCUUAAUUGGAAACUGGAAUAAAAGAGGCGAUGAGGGAUAGACUUUUGGGGUAAAAAAUUAAUUUGACAUAAAGGUCAAAAGGCCUUUAUAAACCUGGGGGACGAUAAGACCCUAUAAAACUUUACUCUAAAUUAAAUCUUUGUAGGGUUAGAUUAACUUAAGAGUUGAACUGGGGCGGUUUUUAUUUUUACUAUAAGAAAUUAAAUAUUAAAUAUAGAUUUAUAUAACUUAUUUAAAAAUUUCAACAAGUUACUUUAGGGAUAACAGCAUAAUCCUCUAAGAGAGUACAAAUCGGCAAGAGGGAUUAUGACCUCGAUGUUGAAUUGGGAAAAUUUUCAUGGGCAGUUUUAUGAAAAAUUAGUCUGUUCGACUAUUGAAGUCCC